UGUGUGCGAGUCAACGGGUGA
rnacentral:snRNA from 1 species